AAUACUUUGUAAAACAAAUAUUCAUUAUCAUCCAAAAGUGCAUUUAACUCGCAUCAAAAACAAGUUUAACCAAGCAAUCAGAUUAAUCAACAAUCAAACAAAUAGAGCCAGACAUCUAGAUUCUUAAGUAAGUGCAUAUUAAUAUGUUUAUGAGAGUUUUGAGUGAUAUUUGAGUGGGAUAGGUAGUCUUAAAAGGAGAAAUAAAGAUAAUAAAAUGUUUCAGAAAAAAAAAAUAUAACGCUUAAAGAACAAUAAAAAUAAAAAGAUGUUUAUCUUCUUUUUUUCCUACUAGGCUGUCAUGAGAAAAUAACAAAAAGAUUAUCUACCUUUUAAAAAUAUCGUCACGUAUUAUGUGUGGAGCCAAAAAUAUUCACAAGGCGACACGUGGGUUUUUUGGACAAAAAGGAAAAAAAUACCCUUGCAGUACAACGAGGUUCCUACGCGCAAGCAGCGGGCAACCCUCUUUCAACCAAGACAGAAGUGCCCAAAAUAGGUAACAAUUCAAAGUCCAUCUCAUCAAAUCCUUUCUACAAGGUAAUUCCCAAACACAUUCCUUUUAAAUUAUGUUAAUUGGCUAAUUAAUGGGUUUAUUGCCUAAUUAACCCAUUAAUUCUCAAUUAAACCAUCCAUUAUAUCCAAAUAACCACAAAAUACAACCAAUUCAACCCUAAAACAUCACAUGGCCGGCCAUCCCCUUAAGCUUUCAACCUUCCCUAUCUUUUCCCACUUUACUACCCCAAUUAAGCUAGCUAAUUGAUUCUAUAACCAUCCAUUUAUUCCCUUUAUGUUUAAUUAGCAAAUUUAUCAUAAUAAAUUGGCUAAUUAAACCUAAAUUAAACCUAAAAAUCCUAGCCACCUCCUAUCCCUAUAAAUAUACUCCCAUUCUCACCAAAAAGCUAAUUCCAACACUUUGGCAAAAAUCCCAAAAUUCUCUAAACACUCUUUCUCUCUAAAUUUUAACUUUGGCAUCGGAGGUUCUUCGGCCAAAGCCCCCCCCAUUCAUUGUGGGGCGCGUGAGGCUCUUGGCCUUAACCUAAGGUGUUAAUUGUUUUUGUAGGUGCAAAAUCGUCCAAGAUCGAGGAGGAAGAAAUUUGCAUCCACAAAUUGGUGCUUUCAUUGAGAGUUGAAAUCCAUACUCGUAGAAGACUCUCGCACAAAAAGGUUUUUUCUUUAUUUUUUAGUCCAUUUGAAUAUUUUUCAUACGUUCUUAUUAUUAGAAUUUUUUACUUGCAAAGGUUCUUUAAUAAAACGUAUAAGCAAAAUAUAAUGGCUAGAAAUUUAGAAAAUUCCACAAAUGAAAAUUCUAAUAUACAAGAAAUGGGAUUGCGGAGAUCCAUGAGGCAAAAUGCGACAAUAAGGGGAGCGGCAUCACCACCACGAGUUUCCACCAUGGGAACCACCGCGGUGGCUACCUCGGUAGCCACCCACGGCGAGGUCCAUGGUGCCUUCACCACGACCACCAUGGGAACCACCGCGGUGGCUACUUCGGUAGCCAUUCGUGGCGAGGUCCAUGGAGCUUUCACCACGGCCCGAGCCCUGCCAUCCAAGGCUCACGGUACCAAGACCACGACCCAAGCCGUGCCAUCCAAGUUUACGUGGACCCAAGCCCAAGCCUCGCAUUCACAUGCACCGCGCAUUGAGCAGCCUGCUUUCGUUGAGCAGCCCACUCCCGUGGCCCAGCCUGCUCUCGUGACCCAGCCUGCUCCCGACGAGUAGCCCACUCCCGUGGUCCAGCCUGCUCCCGACGAGCAGCCCACUCUCGUGGUCCAGCCUGCUUCCGUCGAGCAGCCCAAUCCCGUGGCCCAGCCUACUUCCGCCAAGCAACUUGCUCUCGCGGCCCAGCCUGCUCCUGCCAAGCAGCUUGCUCUCGUGACCCAGCCUGCUCCCGACGAGCAGCCCACUCCCGUGGUCCAGCCUGCUUCCAUCAAGCAGCCCACUCCCGUGGCCCAGCCUGCUCCUGCCAAGCAGCCUGUUCUCGUGACCCAACCUGCUCCCGACGAGCAGCCCACUCUCGUGGUCCAGCCUGCUUCCGUCAAGCAGCCGACUCCCGUGGCCCAACCUGCUUCCGUCGAGCAGCCUAUUCCCGUGGCCCAGCCUGCUCCUGCCAAGCAGCCUGCUUUCAUGACCCAGCCUGGUCCCGACGAGCAGCCCACUCUCACUGUCUAUCCUGCUCCAGUGGCUUUCCAAGCAGCCCAAGUCGGCCCAAGACUAUCUCAACCAUCCGGACCUACCAUCGAACCGGGGGCAUUCUCACCACAUUUUUUCGCGGAUUUGACAUUUCCCAACUCAAAUCUCGCGCCCGAAGUCUACCACCCUUUCACUGCCCAAGGAAGCGCAUUCCUUCCAAGCUCUUCCAAUCCAAAUGGCGAACAACACUUGUCUCGACAAGUCAUAGAGUUGACGAGCGCCCUUGCACAACAGACAACCUUGGUGAAUCAACUUUUGCAACACAUUGGGAUCCAACGUGCCCCGGACGAGGUAUCCCGAAGUAGGACAAGGGCAGACGGACAUUUCCAGCAGUGUCCCGGCAAGCAGCCACGAGCCGAACGUUUGGGCAGUGUACAUUCCCGUCUUAGAGCGCGAAGGAGCAUGCACUCUCGACUAGGCCCACAGAUGAGCAUACAUUCACGGUUGGGGUUAUACUCCGAUAGUCAACAUGAACAACCUUCCAGGCAAAGUGUCUAUUCGCAGCUAAGCCCACAAGGAGCGUCAUCCACCUCACAUCAGAGUAGGCAGCACGACGGACGGAGAGAAGCAGUCACUCAAUCCAGCUCAAGUUCAACCAGCAACAUGCGAAGAACUCGCUCGCCUACUAGGAACGCAUCACAUGCACUGCAUCUGCGGCAUAGACGAGCCAAACACCUGGAAGAGCAGCCUAGACCAGCAAGUCAUGACUGGGGGCAGCCGAGAGCUCCGCUACCCCAACAAAUGCAAAUUCAGGAAGAAGUAGAGAGACUCUUGACUAAGCGAUUGCAUGAUUUCCAACGCAACGAGGUCACCGACGAGGCACUAUGACGGAACAUAACCAACAUAAGCAGGUCACCCUUCACGGAGGAGAUUGAGUAGGCAGAGCCUCCACGCGAGUUCAGCAUGCCACAUUUCACAUCUUUCAAAGGGGAUGAAGACCCGAAGAGACACUUAAAACGUUACCAAAGUGCAAUGAUCCUUUAUCGAAACAACGAUGAUCUCAUGUGCAAGAUAUUCGCCACCACUCUACAAGGCGAGGCGCAAGAUUGGUUCUACACCCUGCCGCCACAAUCCAUCCGGAAUUUCUACGAACUUUCUUUGGUUUUCACCAAAGAAUAUUCAUCCUAUAGCUCGAUCAAAAAGAAGUCUGACCAUUUGUUCGACGUCAAGAAGAACCUAAAGGAGUCGCUUCGCGACUAUGUGAGGAGGUUCAAAGUAGAGAAGGCAAAAAUAGUCGGAUGCAACGACUCGAUAGUUAGAGCAGCCUUCCAAAAAGGACUUCCAGCAGACCACCCGCUAUUCGGAAAAUUGAUCAUGAAAGAAUAUCUAACUCUGGCAUACUCUUUUGCUUUAGCAGAGAAGCAUGCACUUUGGGAUGAGGCUCGCCAAUGCACAUUCAAGGACUUGAAGAAGUACCCGACAUCACCUCCCUAGAAGCAGCGGAUGACUUAUUCGCAUGUUUGACGGUAUCUAAAGUAGCAAUAAGCUCUACCAUCAUGCGAGAAGAGCUGGGGGCCCGACUACCUGUAUUCUACAGUUUACUUGCAGUCAUCAUCAUGACGCACUAUUCCGCCGAAUCCAAACCGGCGACGAUAAAGGCGUAGACCCUGGCAGAUGCAAAGUUUUCUGACGAACGCAACAACUCGGCCCAACGAUGCCCCGAAGGCAGUCGAGCACACUUUAGCUGCACAUAUUCCCUUAAUGGAGAUUUCUGGCAUUCGCAUGUCAACGACGCAUCCAACUACAAAGGCUUGCGAGCAGCCGUGGUUCGUGGCAACCGACUACUUCACCAAAUAGGUGGAAGCAGAGCCCAUGGCGACCACGAUUCAGACGGACAUAGAGCGCUUCAUAUGGAGGAACAUCAUUUACCGAUUUGGCAUCCCUUAAUCCAUCGGCACCAACAACGGCCUGCAAUUCGUGGGCAAAGAUUUGGCGAAGUUCUUUAAAAAAUAUGGCAUCAAGCAGCAUAUGUCCAUGCCGAGAUAUCCUCAAGGCAAUAGACAGGCCGAAACAUCCAAAAAGAUGGAUCUCAUCUGGGAAGGUCCGUACAAGCUCAGCAGAAUAGGCGGUAAGAGUAAUUAUACCCCCGCUACCAUGAAACGAUAAAAAGAUCGAAAAGUAGUGGAGCGCCUACAAUCUGAAGAAGUACCAUGUGUGACCUCCGACUACAUCAAAGCCCGAAGACUUAAGAAGCUCGACGGGCACCACCUCACAAGUCGAGGACUAUCCAGUUGUUAUGCAGUUCCUACCUUACAGCUAAGUUCUUGUUCGUUUCACUCGUUUUUCAAUGAGGAAUUCAGAAGUAAUCACAACUUGGCUCGGCUGCAUGCUUACAACAAGUGAUCACUCCAGCACUUCAAAAGAAGACUGUGCCCUUCUUAGGGACCCAUCGCAGGAAUUGCACCCCCCGAGGGACCAACCAUGCUCUCCAGUGCGAGAGGGUAAACUAAUUGCUCUCCAGUGCGAAAGGGUAAACCAAUUCCCCGACACCCAUAUGGGUCAGCUCUCCAAGACGGGAGGAUAAACUUUACACUUCGAAUAUCCAGACGUGGAUGAGCCUGGCUGUCUUAGUAUAACUAGAUGCACGAUGGCUUGCGCCGGGAUUCCUAGAAGUAGCCGCAAUGGUCUUUUUCAAGGCUUAGCUAACUGAAGGAUUUUGGGUCUCUUGGCCUAAUCCGUGGGGAACCGGGCCCUAGAGACGGAGAUGGCACAUUACGCAGUACAUCCGAUGGACGGCUGCCCUGGAAUCCUAAAGCUGCUACCGAGUGCACUAAGAUAGCCUACGGAUUCCGGAAGAUUGCCUACGGCUUGCCCUUCGAGCAGUAAAGCCGCGCUAGACUUAUACAACCGCACAUUCUUGUGAAAGGUUAAACACGCUAGCGCGCAUAUACGAAGUUUUAUCCACUGCCGACAUGCUACGUAGUCGAUAAGCUUCAUCUCUGCCAAGCGCGGAACAACCUACACCAAGUCCUAAAGUGUUGUGAUACUUGCUACGCAACCUACGGAAUUGAAGAAAGUCAAGGUUAACAGCCUAGUGGUUACGCGAACUUGUCUUCUUCUGUAAGUAAGGCAUCCGGUUGCCAACCCUAUGGCUAACAACUUUGCAAAGUUCUACACCAACACCUACGGCUGCAUAGGCUACGCGAGCUUGUCUGCUUAUAAAAAAGUAACAUGCCUGCCACUGGUCUAUCAAGUCUAAAGGUUAGGGCAUGAACAAAAGAAGUGAAGAUGAAGAAAAACGAAGGAAAACAUGUUUAUAAACAACUAGCAAAGGCCGAAGGAGUUCAAGCAAAACAAGAGCUACAAGGAAAAACAAAGAAAAUCCUAAAGGCUACCUAAAAUACUACACUACAGCAGCUUGGACAUCCCACGACUACUCGGUCGCCACACCUUCAACAGCCGUAACACUCUUAGCAACGGCAUCAUCCGGCGCUUCACCCCCGGCUGCCCCAGUCUGGGCACUAACUUCUCCAACUACUUCACCAAUGGAAGCCUUAAAAGUAAGCAAGCAAGUCUUUCGGAGAAAUAGAGAAGGUCUUAAAACCUCAAGCCCAUCAUUCUCACCCUUCAGCUGCUCAUUCUUCUUAAGCAGACUAACACAGACGCGCUGCAGCUCAUCCACUCCCUUCUUAGCAUAAGCAGCGAAACGAAGCUCAGAAAUUGCAAGCUUAAGAUCUUGAAUAUGAGGCGAAUCAAUCUCAGCAGCAAAGGAAGCAGGCUUUGGCGCCACUUUAGCAGCAGAGUCCACCUUACCACUCUUCAUAAUAGCAAGUCUCUACAAAGGUGAACCGGACUUGGCUCCCAAAGAACGUCCUGGUACAGACUUCGGCACUGGGGGCAUGAUAAAACCUUUACGUUGAGCAAUCUUAUCCACAAUUGUACUAGCCAUUCUCAACAUGGAAGACGCCACAUGCUCAGAUCUAGCAGCCUUAUUUUUCUUCCCAUUAGAAGAAGUCAUGUCAAUCACAUACCUCUCGGUAGCAAGCGGACCCUUAUGAGCAGCAGAAGAAGUCUUCAGUUUUUUCUUAACUAGGCAUCUCAUGAGCAGGCGGGGAAGAUCUCUUCUUUCCAUCUUCAUUCAUAGUAAGCUCCACGACAGCGAUCAGACGAGCCAAUGCAUCCGCCUUGAUCCUCUUUACCUCAUCUUUCUGGAGCAGCCCACAUUUCUUUCAGCAAAGAAGACUAAGCAGCCAACGAAAUUCAUGGUACUCAGCAGGGGAGCUCAACCCAGCAUUCCAGCAGGCAGAAGGCCUGCAUGCCCAACAUUCUAGCAGCCCAUGAGACCCGCAAUCUCCUUAUUUCUCUCAAUCGCCAGCCUGGCCCGAGUCAGGUCCAAGAGCCCAAAGGACAUGAGCCAUGCGGCUCGCCUAACACUGUGCCUUAGCGCCACAAUCCUCGACCCCAGCUGCACAAGCUGCCCUUGGCUCAAGCCAAGCCAAGCUGCCCAAGCAGUGGUCCCUGCCACGACAUCUCCUCAGCUCAUGCCGAGCCAGCUCCUGGCCCCUGCUAGCCGACGUGCCGCACCACCCCGACGGCUACCCCGCAAUAGCACUAUCCAAGAAUAAAGCAAGAAAAAUUAAAUUUUUCUUACAUUGGUGCGGCACGAAGAAGACGAAGAAAGCAACGAAAGACGGUCAUUUGCACGGGCAAGAUGUAGAAGAUUGCUAGAGGAGGGGGAACAAAUAUCCUCUAAGCUAUCUCUCUCUUGUAGGGUAGAAUAAAUCGCUCUCCAAAGUUGAUUUAAUAACCCACUUAAGGUGGACUUAAAUAGGCUUUGAGAGAAAUUUAUUUCCCUUUCCUAGAAGGAUCUAAUUUCCUAUUAAAGAGAGAAUCUACAUCAAAAUAGGAAGCAGUCCUAAGUUUCCUAAAGCAAGAAAAUCUCUACACCUGCCGCCCUUUUCUGCGAGUAGCCCAACAGGUGUGGGGGCAUUUGUGGAGCCAAAAAUAUUCACAAGGCGACACAUGGGUUUUUUGGACAAAAAGGAAAAAAAUACCCUUGCAGUACAACGAGGUUCCUACGUGCAAGCAGCGGGCAACCCUCUUUCAACCAAGACAGAAGUGCUCAAAAUAGGUAACAAUUCAAAGUCCAUCUCAUCAAAUCCUUUCUACAAGGUAAUU
rnacentral:lncRNA from 1 species